rnacentral:rRNA from 1 species
CGUAGCCACGGUAAUACGGAGGGUGCAAGCGUUAAUCGGAAUUACUGGGCGUAAAGCGCACGCAGGCGGUCUGACAAGUCAGAUGUGAAAUCCCCGGGCUUAACCUGGGAACUGCAUUUGAAACUGUCAGGCUGGAGUCUUGUAGAGGGGGGUGGAAUUCCAGGUGUAGCGGUGAAAUGCGUAGAGAUCUGGAGGAAUACCGGUGGCGAAGGCGGCCCCCUGGACAAAGACUGACGCUCAGGUGCGAAAGCGUGGGGAGCAAACAGGAUUAGAUACCCCGUGUAGUCCCUGUCUCUUUUAC